rnacentral:rRNA from 1 species
GGCUCAGAAUGAACGCUGGCGGCAGGCUUAACACAUGCAAGUCGAGCGGGGAAAAGUAGCUUGCUACUUGACCUAGCGGCGGACGGGUGAGUAAUGCUUAGGAAUCUGCCUAUUAGUGGGGGACAACAUCUCGAAAGGGAUGCUAAUACCGCAUACGUCCUACGGGAGAAAGCAGGGGACCUUCGGGCCUUGCGCUAAUAGAUGAGCCUAAGUCGGAUUAGCUAGUUGGUGGGGUAAAGGCCUACCAAGGCGACGAUCUGUAGCGGGUCUGAGAGGAUGAUCCGCCACACUGGGACUGAGACACGGCCCAGACUCCUACGGGAGGCAGCAGUGGGGAAUAUUGGACAAUGGGGGGAACCCUGAUCCAGCCAUGCCGCGUGUGUGAAGAAGGCCUUUUGGUUGUAAAGCACUUUAAGCGAGGAGGAGGCUACCGAGAUUAAUACUCUUGGAUAGUGGACGUUACUCGCAGAAUAAGCACCGGCUAACUCUGUGCCAGCAGCCGCGGUAAUACAGAGGGUGCAAGCGUUAAUCGGAUUUACUGGGCGUAAAGCGCGCGUAGGUGGCCAAUUAAGUCAAAUGUGAAAUCCCCGAGCUUAACUUGGGAAUUGCAUUCGAUACUGGUUGGCUAGAGUAUGGGAGAGGAUGGUAGAAUUCCAGGUGUAGCGGUGAAAUGCGUAGAGAUCUGGAGGAAUACCGAUGGCGAAGGCAGCCAUCUGGCCUAAUACUGACACUGAGGUGCGAAAGCAUGGGGAGCAAACAGGAUUAGAUACCCUGGUAGUCCAUGCCGUAAACGAUGUCUACUAGCCGUUGGGGCCUUUGAGGCUUUAGUGGCGCAGCUAACGCGAUAAGUAGACCGCC